rnacentral:rRNA from 1 species
AUAUUAGUAAGCGGAGGAAAAGAAACUAACAAGGAUUCCCUCAGUAGCGGCGAGUGAAGCGGGAACAGCUCAAAUUUGAAAUCUCGGCACUUUGUGCUGCGAAUUGUAGUCUAAAGACGGUUAUCAAGGCUGAAGCACUGAACAAGUUCCUUGGAAUAGGACGCCAGAGAGGGUGAGAGUCCCGUUGUGUCAGUGCGGAGGCUGCAUGAGAGCCAGUCAAAGAGUCGAGUUGCUUGGGAAUGCAGCUCAAUAAGUGGGAAGU